CCAACCGAGGAGCGCUGCAACGGAUUUCUUCCGUCAGGCUCGGCUUCCAAACACCGCGCUUACCUGAU
rnacentral:ncRNA from 2 species